UGCGUAGGCGGAAUAUUAAGUCAGUGGUGAAAUCCUGCGGCUCAACCGUAGAACUGCCAUUGAUACUGAUAUUCUUGAAUGUAGUUGAGGUAGGCGGAGUGUGUAAUGUAGCGGUGAAAUGCUUAGAUAUUACACAGAACACCGAUUGCGAAGGCAGCUUACUAAACUAUGAUUGACGCUGAGGCACGAAAGCGUGGGGAGCGAACAGGAUUAGAUACCCUGGUAGUCC
rnacentral:rRNA from 1 species